GAUGAAGAACGCAGCGAAAUGCGAUAAGUAAUGUGAAUUGCAGAAUUCAGUGAAUCAUCGAAUCUUUGAACGCACAUUGCGCCCGCCAGCAUUCUGGCGGGCAUGCCUGUUCGAGCGUCAUUUCAACCCCCAAGCUCUGCUUGGUGUUGGGGCCCUACGGUUGACGUAGGCCCUUAAAGGUAGUGGCGGACCCUCUCGGAGCCUCCUUUGCGUAGUAACUAACGUCUCGCAUUGGGAUUCGGAGGGACUCUUGCCGUAAAACCCCCAAAUUUUCUAAUGGUUGACCUCGGAUCAGGUAGGAAUACCCGCUGAACUUAAGCAUAUCAAUAAGCGGAGGA
rnacentral:misc_RNA from 1 species